UCGUCUCAGGAGACACCGUGAGUGGCGCU
rnacentral:sRNA from 1 species